UACGUAGGGGGCAAGCGUUGUCCGGAUUUAUUGGGCGUAAAGCGCGUGUAGGUGGCCAAGUAGGUCCGCUGUGAAAACUUGAGGCUCAACCUCAAGCUGUCGGUGGAAACCCCCUGGCUAGAGUCCGGAAGAGGAGAGUGGAAUUCCUGGUGUAGCGGUGAAAUGCGCAGAUAUCAGGAAGAACACCAAUGGCGAAGGCAGCUCUCUGGGACGGUACUGACACUGAGACGCGAAAGCGUGGGGAGCGAACAGG
rnacentral:rRNA from 1 species